rnacentral:rRNA from 1 species
UGCGGAAUAUUGGUCACUUUUCUCCCUCCUGAACCAACCAUCCCGCGUGAAGGAUGAAGGCCCUAUGGGUCGUAAACUUCUUUUAUACACCAAGAAAAAGCAGGACGUGUCCUGCCCCGACGGUAGUGUAUGAAUAAGCAUCGGCUAACUCCGUGCCAGCAGCCGCGGUAAUACGGAGGAUGCGAGCGUUAUCCGGAUUCAUUGGGUUUAACGGGUGCGUAGGCGGCUUUUUAAGUCAGUGGUGAAAUCUUGCCGCUUAACGGUAAAAUUGCCAUUGAUACUGAGAAGCUUGAGUACAAUUGAGGUAAGCGGAAUGUGUAGUGUAGCGGUGAAAUGCUUAGAUAUUACACAGAACACCAAUUGCGAAGGCAGCUUACUAAACUGUUACUGACGCUGAUGCACGAACGCGUGGGGAGCGAACA